rnacentral:tRNA from 1 species
AGUCUUAAAUUUAAGUUAAAUUGCAAGUUUAAUAAAGCUUAUAUAAGCUAAGGCUU